AUUGAACGCUGGCGGCAGGCCUAACACAUGCAAGUCGAACGAGUGGCGGACGGGUGAGUCAUGUCUGGGAAACUGCCUGAUGGAGGGGGAUAACUUCUGGAAACGGUAGCUAAUACCGCAUACCAUCGGUUGUGCACAGAUGGGAUUAGCUAGUAGGUGGGGUAAAGGCUCACAUAGGCGACGAUCCCUAGCUGGUCUGAGAGGAUGACCAGCCACACUGGAACUGAGACACGGUCAAGACGCCUACGGUAGGCAGCAGUGGGGAAUAUUGCACAAUGGGUGGAAGCUGGAUGCAGCCAUGCCGCGUGUAUGAAGAAGGCCUUCGGGUUGUAAAGUACUUUCAGCGGGGAGGCGUUACCCGCAGAAGAAGCACCGGCUAACUCCGUGCCAGCAGCCGCGGUAAUAC
rnacentral:rRNA from 1 species